rnacentral:rRNA from 1 species
GGGGAAUUUUCCGCAAUGGGCGAAAGCCUGACGGAGCAAUACCGCGUGAGGGAUGACGGCCUAUGGGUUGUAAACCUCUUUUUUCAGGGAGGAAAAAAAUGACNUUNCCUGAANAAUAAGCNUCGGCUAACUCCNUGCCAGCAGCCNCGGUAAGACGGAGGAUGCAAGUGUUAUCCGGAAUCACUGGGCGUAAAGCGUCUGUANGUGGUUUGAUAAGUCAACUGUUAAAUCUUGAGGCUCAACCUCGAAACCGCANUCGAAACUAUCAUACUAGAGUAUAGUANGGGUAAAGGGAAUUUCCAGUGGAGCGGUGAAAUGCGUAUAGAUUGGAAAGAACACCGAUGGCNAAGGCACUUUACUGGGCUAUUACUAACACUGANAGACNAAAGCUAGGGUAGCAAAUGGGAUUAGAUACCCCAGUAGUC